rnacentral:rRNA from 1 species
CAGUAGCCGCGGUAAUACGAAGGGUGCAAGCGUUACUCGGAAUUACUGGGCGUAAAGCGCACGUAGGCGGCUUGGUAAGUUAGAGGUGAAAGCCCGGAGCUCAACUCCGGAAUUGCCUUUAAGACUGCCGAGCUAGCAGGUGAGAGAGGUAAGUGGAAUUCCGAGUGUAGAGGUGAAAUUCGUAGAUAUUCGGAAGAACACCAGUGGCGAAGGCGGCUUACUGGCUCAUACUGGACGCUGAGGUGCGAAAGCGUGGGGAGCAAACAGGAUUAGAUACCCCAGUAGUCCCUGUCUCUUAUAA